GUUUAACUAAACAAAGUUCUACAAUAACCACUCAAUUCAAGUUCUUAGCUCAGAUCUCGUCACAAUGAAGCUGGGUAUUUUUCUCAUUGCUGGCCUGAUUUUUAUCAACUUGUGCACCUGCAUGCCAAGGGACAUGGCGGCGGAUGCAUCUCACGGUACCACUGUGCCACAGAGGGAAAUUCGCAAACUGAUUGCCGGAACUGACGGAAGAAACGGCCCUCCCAGCAAUGAUCACCAGUGCAAGCUUGGGACCUACCCGAAUUGUCAAGGCAUGUAUCAGAAGUCAGAACACUGAGGAAGUAGCUCAAGAUGUUCAUGGAAUUGAGGCCGUCUCUGCUGAUCACAGAGCACCAAGAUUCAUGAAAGAGAUAUAUAUAGCCCCUAAGUUCAUGGCGGACGUACUUAUCAUGCUACUUGUUGCCACGUGGAAGGCUGUAUAGCCAUGCUAACAGGACUAGCGUUUUUAUGCUUAAUUUGCCAGUAUUAUUUCAAUGCUUAUAUUUAUAUAGAAACCUACAUGAACCAUUAUAUUUCUUCAAGCCCAAUAAUUUGUAUUUGUGAUAUCGCCUUGUCAAGUUCAAUAAUUGUAUAUAAACAUAUGUUUCCCCA